rnacentral:rRNA from 1 species
UACACAUGCAAGUCGAACGGCAGCACGGGGGGCAACCCUGGUGGCGAGUGGCGAACGGGUGAGUAAUAUAUCGGAACGUACCCGGAAAUGGGGGAUAACGCAGCGAAAAGUUGCGCUAAUACCGCAUAUGCCCUGAGGGGGAAAGCGGGGGAUCCGCAAGGACCUCGCGUUUUCGGAGCGGCCGAUAUCGGAUUAGCUAGUAGGUGGGGUAAAGGCCUACCUAGGCGACGAUCCGUAGCUGGUCUGAGAGGACGACCAGCCACACUGGAACUGAGACACGGUCCAGACUCCUACGGGAGGCAGCAGUGGGGAAUUUGGACAAUGGGCGAAAGCCUGAUCCAGCCAUGCCGCGUGAGUGAAGAAGGCCUGGUGUAAGACGUACUUCCUAGUCAGGAACGAAACGGUA